UUUGACAUGUACGGAAGUGACCAGAGAUGGACAUGUGCUCGAAAGAGAACCGUAACACAGGUGCUGCAUGGCUGUCGUCAGCUCGUGUCGUGAGAUGUUGGGUUAAGUCCCGCAACGAGCGCAACCCUUGCCAUUAGUUGCUACGAAAGGGCACUCUAAUGGGACUGCCGGUGACAAACCGGAGGAAGGUGGGGAUGACGUCAAGUCCUCAUGGCCCUUAUAGGUGGGGCUACACACGUCAUACAAUGGCUGGUACAAAGGGUUGCCAACCCGCGAGGGGGAGCUAAUCCCAUAAAGCCAGUCGUAGUCCGGAUCGCAGUCUGCAACUCGACUGCGUGAAGUCGGAAUCGCUAGUAAUCGUGGAUCAGAAUGUCACGGUGAAUACGUUCCCGGGUCUUGUACACACCGCCCGUCACACCAUGGGAGCGGGUCUCGCCAGAAGUAGGUAGCCUAACCGCAAGGAGGGCGCUUACCACGGCGGGGUUCGUGACUGGGGUGAAGUCGUAACAAGGUA
rnacentral:rRNA from 2 species